GUGAAUGAAACCAACACGUAAGCUAGAUAUGUAUGCCCUUAAAUACGUUCCGUACUAAAAAUCAUAAUUGUACAAGCAAGCAUAUACAGUAAUAUGCAAUCAGUCAGUUCUACGAAAACACCUAAUUCUCUGAUUGGGGAAAGAACAGAGCAUUGGAUAAGAGUAAACUAGCCCAAGAAACGAAUUUAACUCUAUAACAGGGCUAUUCAAAUAUCUUUUCGAAUUAAGCAACCACUUUCUGGAUGCACUUUAUCCCUCCCGCGUCCAUACUCAAAUGCAUGAGACUUCAUCUAUCAGAUGUUGCUUAUCCUAAAAUGAUGAACUAGGAAUUCAGAACUCAGGUCACUGGAAAACAAUAACUUGAAGCUGACUGACAUUUCGAUGCACAGAAAGAAUUCUCAUUGGUAACU